UCCGAAUUGGUGUAGUGGCUAACAUUUGACGCUCUCAUCCAUACUAGCUUAUGAUCUGAUCCGUCAAGCCCGGGGUUCGAUUCCCCGAUUCGGAG